rnacentral:rRNA from 1 species
AACGUAGGAGACAAACGUUAUCCGGAGUUACUGGGCGUAAAGGGCGUGUAGGUGGUUUUAUAAGUCUGGCGAUUGAAUUCGUCGCUUAACCGAGGCAGGUCGUCGGAUACUAUGAGACUAGAGGACGGUAGAGGCGUGUGGAAUUCCGGGUGUAGUGGUGAAAUGCGUAGAUAUCUGGAGGAACACCGGUGGCGAAGGCGGCGUUCUGGACUGUAACUGACACUGAAGAACGAAAGCCAGGGGAGCAAACGGG